UCUUAUGAAUGAGCAAAGACAGUGGUUUCUUGUGAUGGAACCUACACCUGGUGAAGAAGCUGUGAA
rnacentral:pre_miRNA from 1 species